AUAAACGCUGGCGGCGUGCCUAACACAUGCAAGUCGAGCGCUAAAGGCUUUCGGGCUGAUUAAAGCGGCGGACGGGUGAGUAACGCGUAGGAAUCUGCCUUUUAGUGAAGAAUACCCCUGAGAAAUUGAGGUUAAUACUGCAUAAGCUCCUUAGGGAGGAAAGAUGGCCUCUUGCUGUCGCUAAAAGAUGAGCCUGCGUACUAUUAGUUAGUUGGUGGGGUAAUGGCCUACCAAGACAAAGAUGGUUAGCCGGCCUGAGAGGGUGAACGGCCACAUUGGAACUGAGACACGGUCCAGACUCCUACGGGAGGCAGCAGUGAGGAAUCUUGCGCAAUGGGCGAAAGCCUGACGCAGCGACGCCGCGUGGAGGAUGAAGGUCUUAGGAUUGUAAAAUUCUUUCACCGGGGACGAUAAUGACGGUACCCGGAGAAGAAGCCCCGGCUAACUUCGUGCCAGCCGCCGCCGUAA
rnacentral:rRNA from 1 species